CAUGGAACAAGUGCCUGUUUCAGUCUCUUAUUUAAGCACCGCAGAUGCGUUGAAACCUAAUAAAAACAGUUCCCUGGCAUAUCAACCCUAACCAGAGAGUAAGAAGCUAAAAAUCUGUGAAUCGCCUACAACCAAAGGGGAGUCUUUUGAGAGCUGCAUUGUUAAAACUCUGAGAACAGGUGCUCUCCAGAUACGUUCUCAAGGACACAUUCAUCUGUGAAUGCGGAUUUUUAUUCCUGUGCCUCAUUCUGUUGGAGCUGUAGAAAACCAAACUCUAUCUGGUCAAGAGCUCAGGGUGAUCUUUGAGCUAACGAGGACGCUAGGUGACACCAAGCCCAAACACUCUCUGAGCAAGUGCCUGGUCCUGAGAGGUGAUCGAGGUCACACGACUAUAAGAUAUAGGCAGGAACUGAAAAAUCACAUCUCCAGACUCAUCACUUGGGCCUGGCCAUGGACUUGCAUAUCAUUGCUGAGAGAAGUCUCAAUAGCAGCUUAA
ensembl:lncRNA